GCAGUCGCCGCGGUAAUACGGAGGGGGCUAGCGUUGUUCGGAAUUACUGGGCGUAAAGCGCACGUAGGCGGCUUGGUAAGUUAGAGGUGAAGGCCUGGAGCUCAACUCCAGAAUUGCCUUUAAGACUGCCGAGCUAGCAGGUGAGAGAGGUAAGUGGAAUUCCGAGUGUAGAGGUGAAAUUCGUAGAUAUUCGGAAGAACACCAGUGGCGAAGGCGGCUUACUGGCUCAUACUGGACGCUGAGGUGCGAAAGCGUGGGGAGCAAACAGGAUUAGAUACCCGCGUAGUCCCUGUCUCUUAUAC
rnacentral:rRNA from 1 species